ensembl:snoRNA SNORD2 small nucleolar RNA, C/D box 2
GAGUGAAAUGAUGUUUACCAUCUUUCGGGACUGACUUGCAGUGGAGAAAAUUCAAAAUGCUGAUCACUC